UGUUAACAUAAGAGGUGUUCUAAGGAGGAAUGUAGGGCCAGAGAGAUGGCAUCUGCUGUUGACCUGUUGCUCCGAUGCUGAUUGCCCUGUUAAGUAGUUCCAACAUUCCUGCUUUUCAACAUGACAAUAGCACCUAUCCCUACCCUCGGA